rnacentral:lncRNA from 1 species
ACAGACAAUGCAGGGGCAGGGUGUGGUUUUGGGGGGAAUUUUUCUUUUUCAGAAGACGGAACACAGAUGUGGACACAUAUCCGGAAGCUGCAGCUGCUUGAAUGCCUUCCCAACCCCUCCUUCUCCCUCCCUCCCUCCCCCCACCACCCUCCCUCUUUUCCAUUGUCUUGGCUCUCACAGGAGCUAGCUGCCUGGGAGGAAUUGUUAACUGAGUACCAGGGUACCUUUAAAGAAGACCCUUGGAGUUUUCUAUACCUUCUUCUCCUCCCCCAUCUCACUCCACCCCACUUUGUCCCUGAUGUCUUGGGGAAGGUGUAGAACACCCUAGCAGUUCUAUUGUAUAUACUUGGGAGCCACUGAGAACAGAGGACGGCCAGUGAGUCCAAGCCUCAUUCCUCCUUCUGCCUCCCCGGAGCCACAGGAUGGAUUUAGGAGCCACUGCUCAGUGCACGUCUCCCUUCCAACUGCAUCAACUAACUCUUGGGGGUGUUCUGCUCACCACACCGUCCUUCGGUUCUUACCGAGUCACAGACUCGCCUGCCUACUACGUGUCCCGGGUUCUCUCUACUCAGAUCCCUUCCAGAAACUUUAUAUGGGUAGAGGAAGCCAGGGCGGCAAAUGCGAGACCAAAUAUCAUUUUGCCAAUGAGUCUGAGGCUGUGGUCUCUGGAUCCAGUCACUACAUUUUUAUAGAAUAAUUAAACCAGAUGAUAACGGUGUUUUAAAAAAAUAAUAAUAAAACUUGUUUCCUUUUGGGCCACCCCUAGGAAGGGCUGAUUUCAAAAUCUGGGGGCGAGCAACCUCAAGGAACACAAUUUCCCUCCCCAUCAACAAGAGGAUUUUAACAGCAAAGAAGAGAGGCAGCACCUCCCAUUGGCAGAAUGACCGCUGAGCCAGGCUGGGUUUGGGUUUCUUCUCUUCUGAUUCUGCUGCUCACUGUCAUAGCCUUUUGUGUAUAGUGAUGUGUCUGUAUCUUUAAUGUAAAUAGAGAGAUGAUGAAAAAAGAGUCUAUUUUAGUGUUAGGAAGCCCCAGCAGGGGAGUUGGAAGAGCUGGGGGAGAGGGUAGGGGAAAGGUUUUUCCAGGGGCCACUGGGUUUGAGCCCUGCUUUUGUGCACAGCCACACCACCCUCUCCUGACAGCCCUCAAAGACGUAGCAACCCUUUCUCUCAAGGUGCUAAAGGACUCAGAAGGUGCAGCACGUCCAGUGGGUAGGUACUUGUUGCAUGCAAAAGCUGUAGUGUAUCUGGUCCUUCCUCCCCAGCUGUUGUGUGGGGUUUUUGCUUUGUGUGUGGUAUUUUGUUUUCCCCUCUAAUGAGAGGGCAUGGCCUGAGUCAGAAGAGCUACCCCAGGUGAAACUGGAAGUGCAUGAGGCAGAGUGUCCGUAGCAUUUCCAGUUUGUUCUGUAGGAACAGAGGUGCCUCCAGGAAGGAGGUAGCGAGGUGGGUAGCUAUGAUAGGCAUGCACCUAAUGCUUCUCAAGGACUUCUUUUUUCCUUCUUGAAGACUAGUAGUAACAUCUUAUGAUUUAGAGUAAGUUAAUUGUAACCAUAGGUAUUUAUUGAUUGGAGGAAGGGAGGGUCAUAUUAUUUUCGGCUUUAUUUAUGUAACAUUUGCUAGCUUGUAAAAGGCGAAUGUGAAAUAUUGCAUCUGCAUUUUCCAAGGCUGAUUCAUGUAGCUACCCUUGCCACAGUUGUGACAGAUGUAUGGAUGUUCUUGAACAUUUCAGAGGGAGUGGUAGGAAAGAAACACAUUCGGCCAACCACUUACAUGAACUGAAUGUAUCAGAAGUGUACUGAAGGGACUGGAGAUGGUUUUCCUCAGAUGAGGUGGCCCCAAAAUCGAUAGUGCACAUGUGCACGCUUUCUGCAAGGCCUCAGAACUUUUCCCAGGGCCCCUCCCUCAAAUUGUCUCCAUGGGAAACUUGACCCAGUUGCACUUUGGUGAUCUUGGUGGUCUACACACCCGUUCUGUGGAGAGUCGAUUUACAUAAGCUGUGUAUACACACAUACACACACACACACACACCCCUACCCCACACUGACUGUCUACCGACAGAGACCCUAUUUCCUGGCAAACGACCUCCUGAACCCUGACUUUUUGUGUACAUACUUGUAAACACGGAUUUUUCUGGGUUUUGGUUUGCUUUUUCUUUUUUUUCCCCCUGCCCCUGUUCUAGCUUGUUCUUCUUGGUUUGCUUUCAACCUGCUUGAUGGAUGUCUGCAGAAUGCUCUGAGAGUCCACCUCAGCGCCUCGUGUGCUCGGUGGUCAUGGGAAGGAGCGAAGGAACCAUCCUUGGUUCUCCCAGCUUGGUUGUGUAGCAAUCCCUCAGCAUUGUUUUUCUCAGCUUCUUGGCAAAAAUUUAAAAAACAAAAAAAA